ACCAGACUCCUACGGGAGGCAGCAGUGGGGAAUAUUGCACAAUUGGGGAAACCCUGAUGCAGCGACGCCGCGUGAGUGAAGAAGUAUUUCGGUAUGUAAAGCUCUAUCAGCAGGGAAGAAGAAGGACGGUACCUGAGUAAGAAGCCCCGGCUAACUACGUGCCAGCAGCCGCGGUAAUACGUAGGGGGCAAGCGUUAUCCGGAUAUACUGGGUGUAAAGGGAGCGUAGACGGCGAUGCAAGUCUGAAGUGGAAGGCGGGGGCCCAGCCCCUGGACUGCUUUGGAAACUGUAUGGCUGGAGUGCAGGAGAGGUGAGUGGAAUUCCUAGUGUAGCGGUGAAAUGCGUAGAUAUUAGGAGGAACACCAGUGGCGGAGGCGGCUUACUGGACUGUAACUGACGUUGAGGCUCGAAAGCGUGGGGAGCAGACAGGAUUAGAUACCCG
rnacentral:rRNA from 1 species